UCAGAGUGGCAAAGAUAAAGGCAAAUUCUGUCAGCGGACAGAACUUGAUCACAGGACACAUGGUUGAAUCACAGAACAUAAAGAAAUCAAACUGGGAUCACCAUAGAAGUGGGAAUUAAGAGCCAGAGAUGAUGGAGGCCCACAGUGGAAUAUUACAUUCUGGAAACAGCAGGGGACCUGCAUGUAUGGAUUUACAGGGAUUUAAAAAACAUGCACAGAAUCUGGGAAGCCUGAUCCAAACAAAAUACCAGCGUAGAGAGCAGAGUUUUGUCCAUAAACCCACAAAUACUUUGGCACACUUGAUUAUGGUUAGCUUUGUAGGAAGAGAGACAGUUUUUC